AACGCGAAGAACCUUACCAGGGUUUGACAUGCAGUCGCACCACCCGUAAUGGGGUGUACCCGCAAGGGACGGCUGCACAGGUGCUGCAUGGCUGUCGUCAGCUCGUGUCGUGAGAUGUUGGGUUCAGUCCCGCAACGAGCGCAACCCCUAUCGUUGGUUACAAGUGUCCAGCGAGACUGCUCCUACAAGGGAGAGGAAGGCGGGGAUGACGUCAAGUCAGCACGGCCCUUACGUCCUGGGCGACACACACGCUACAAUGGCCGGUACAAACCGCUGCAAACCCGCGAGGGGGAGCUAAUCGGAAAAAGCCGGCCUCAGUUCGGAUUGGAGUCUGCAACUCGACUCCAUGAAGCUGGAAUCGCUAGUAAUCGUGGAUCAGCAUGCCACGGUGAAUACGUUCCCGGGCCUUGUACACACCGGUAUCUC
rnacentral:rRNA from 1 species